rnacentral:rRNA from 1 species
UACGUAGGGGGCAAGCGUUGUCCGGAAUCAUUGGGCGUAAAGAGCGUGUAGGCGGUUCGAUAAGUCUGCUGUGAAAGUCCAAGGCUCAACCUUGGGAUGCCGGUGGAUACUGUCGAACUCGAGUCCGGAAGAGGAGUGUGGAAUUCCUGGUGUAGCGGUGAAAUGCGCAGAUAUCAGGAGGAACACCGAUGGCGAAGGCAGCACUCUGGGACGUGACUGACGCUGAGACGCGAAAGCGUGGGGAGCGAACAGG